UGCGGGAGGAAGGCUGCGUCAGUAUGGGUGGUGGUAGUGGCCUGAAACAUUAGUUAGCACGCUGAUUCCUUGAGGUGUUAUGGCGCAUGUAAGGCAGUGAGUGUUUGGAGGGCGGAAUUCAGGUGUACUUGUGUACUUUGUAGGAAAUGAGAGAAGUUGUAAGGUGGUGACUGUUGGUCAACUAUUGAAAGUGCUUACCCUGAUGUGUGUGUUUGAAUAUGUUAGUGUUAGUGUGUGUGUGUGUGUGUGUGUGUGUGUGUGUGUGUGUGUGUGUGUGUGACUAGGUGUUCAAGCCUGCGUGUGUCAGCGUGGAGUGUGGCAGGUGUGGGCGCUGAGUCGGUUCUGUCGAGG